rnacentral:rRNA from 1 species
AUUGAACGCUGGCGGCAGGCCUAACCCAUGCAAGUCGAGCGGGGUUUUCGGACCUAGGGGCGCACGGGGGAGUAAUGCGUAGGAAGCUACCCGAUAGAGGGGGAUACCAGUUGGCAACGACUGUUAAUACCGCAUAGUGUCUACGGACCAAAGUACGGGACCUUCGGGCCACAUGCUAUCGGAUGCGACGACGUGGGAUUAGCUAGGUGGUGGGGUAAUGGCCUACCAAGGCGACGAGCCCUAGCUGGUUUGAGAGGAUGAUCAGCCAAGCGGGAACUGAGUCGCGGUCGAGACUCCGACGGGAGGCAGCAGUGGGGAAUAUUGGACAAUGGGCGCAAGCCGGAUCCUGCCAUGCGGCGUGUGUGAAGAAGGCCUUCGGGUUGUAAAGCACUUUCAGUAGGGAGGAAGGGUGUUGUGUUAAUAGCACAGCAUUUUGACGUUACCUACAGAAGAAGCACCGGCUAACUCUGUGCCAGCAGCCGCCGUAAUAC